rnacentral:rRNA from 1 species
CAAGUCGAACGAGAAAGUGGAGCAAUCCAUGAGUACAGUGGCGUACGGGUGAGUAACACGUGGGUAAUCUACCUCUUAGUGGGGAAUAACCAGGGGAAACUCUGGCUAAUACCGCAUAAGCCUGAGAAGGGAAAGCAGUAAUGCGCUGAGAGAGGAGCCCGCGGCCGAUUAGCUAGUUGGUGGGGUAAGAGCCCACCAAGGCAGAGAUCGGUAGCCGGCCUGAGAGGGCACACGGCCACACUGGCACUGAAACACGGGCCAGACUCCUACGGGAGGCAGCAGUGGGGAAUCUUGCACAAUGGGGGAAACCCUGAUGCAGCGACGCCGCGUGAGCGAUGAAGCCCUUCGGGGUGUAAAGCUCUUUCGUCAGGGACGAUAAUGACGGUACCUGGAGAAGCAGCUGCGGCUAACUACGUGCCAGCAGCCGCGGUAAUACGUAGGCAGCAAGCGUUGUUCGGAGUUACUGGGCGUAAAGGGUGUGUAGGCGGUUCUUUAAGUUUGGUGUGAAAUCUCCCGGCUCAACUGGGAGGGUGCGCCGAAUACUGAGGGACUAGAGUACGGGAGAGGAAAGUGGAAUUCCUGGUGUAGCGGUGAAAUGCGUAGAUAUCAGGAGGAACACCGGUGGUGUAGACGGCUUUCUGGACCGUAACUGACGCUGAGACACGAAAGCGUGGGUAGCAAACAGGAUUAGAUACCCUGGUAGUCCACGCCCUAAACGAUGCAUAUUUGGUGUGGGCAGUUCAUUCUGUCCGUGCCGGAGCUAACGCGUUAAAUAUGCCGCCUGGGGAGUACAGUCGCAAGGCUGAAACUCAAAGGAAUUGACGGGGGCCCGCACAAGCGGUGGAGCAUGUGGUUCAAUUC